rnacentral:misc_RNA from 1 species
AAAGUCGUAACAAGGUUUCCGUAGGUGAACCUGCGGAAGGAUCAUUACAGAGUUCGUGCCCCCUGCGGGUAGAUCUCCCACCCUUGAAUAUAAUACCUUUGUUGCUUUGGCAGGCCCGCCUCGGCGUCCGGCUUCGGCUGGGAAGUGCCUGCCAAGGGACCCAAACUCUUAGAUUUUAGCGUCGUCUGAGUACUAUAUAAUAGUUAAAACUUUCAACAACGGAUCUCUUGGUUCUG